rnacentral:rRNA from 1 species
CGGAGGGUGCAAGCGUUAUCCGGAUUCACUGGGUUUAAAGGGUGCGUAGGUGGGUCUGUAAGUCCGUGGUGAAAUCUCCGAGCUUAACUUGGAAACUGCCAUGGAUACUAUAGAUCUUGAAUACUGUGGAGGUCAGCGGAAUAUGUCAUGUAGCGGUGAAAUGCUUAGAUAUGACAUAGAACACCAAUUGCGAAGGCAGCUGGCUACACAAAUAUUGACACUGAUGCACGAAAGCGUGGGGAUCAAACAGGAUUAGAUACCCUGGUAGUCCACGCCCUAAACGAUGGAUACUCGACAUUUGCGAUAAACUGCAAGUGUCUGAGCGAAGCAUUAAGUAUCCCACCCGGGAAGUACGAUCGCAAGAUUG